rnacentral:rRNA from 1 species
CUCUGUUAACACAUCCACUCACACCCUGUGCACCCUCUGUAGUUCUGUGGUUGGGGGACCUGUCCUCCUGCUGUGGUUCCUGCAUCUUUACACACACACACUGUAACAAAGUCUCAUGGAAUGCAUCUGCGUUUAACGCAAUACAAUACAACUUUCAGCAACGGAUCUCUUGGCUCUCGCAUCGAUGAAGAACGCAGCGAAAUGCGAUAAGUAAUGUGAAUUGCAGAAUUCAGUGAAUCAUCGAAUCUUUGAACGCACCUUGCGCCCUUUGGCCAUUCCGAAGGGCAUGCCUGUUUGAGUAUCAUGAACACCUCAACUCUUCAUGGUUUUCUGUGAUGAGCUUGGACUUUGGGGGUUUUGCUGGCCUAUGGUCGGCUCCUCUAAAAUGAAUCAGCUUGCCAGUGUUUGGUGGGCAUCACAGGUGUGAUAACUAUCUACGCUUGUGGUUUUCCCACCAGGUAACCUUCAG